UGCAUAUAUUAUGAAACAAACUACAUUUGUUUGUUUAUAAGAUUGGAAUCGCACUCUUUUUCCUACUCUUCUAAGCUGGUUCAAUGCCAUAUGCCUAGUUGGGGGGUUGAAAUGCUCUACCAUCUAAGAACAAUCGUCUCUUUCCCAAAGAAAGUUGUGCCUAGAAAACUCACACGCCGGGUGGGUAUCAGAAUACUCUUUUCUUGAAUUGGUUCCAGAUAUUUUCUCAUUAUGCCUAUAAACAUUUGUGGGGAGGCCCCGUAUAGCACAUGGAUAAAAGACAGGCCCUAUGAUAACCUAGGAAAAUGUACAUAAGGCUGUGGAUGCUACUUUGGUCUGGUUGAAAUAAUAUGAUUUGUAUUUCAUUGAAGAAUUAAUAAAAUUACUGUGAUCUUCAAAAGAAAGUUCUAACAUUUCUUUCCUUUUCUUCCAAGAAGGUAUGUUAAAAUGAUAUCAGAGGAGAAAGGAAUUUGAAUCUUCAUGAGGAAACCAAAUGUAGGAAUAAAGAGCAUAGAUCUGGAUUCAGACAGACCUAGAUUUAAAUAAUGACACUACUAGUUGAUAGCAGUAAGACCUUGUGCUGUACUUUCCUAUUCUGAAAAAUGGGAAUGUAAAUAUUCCUUCAGUGUGUUGUUGGGAGAAUUUAAUGAGAAUGUGUAUGUAAAGCUAUUAGUAAAGCAUCAGGCUCACAGUGGGUACUUCCCUUGACAGUGGCUAUUAUUACUAUUUAAAAAAAAAGAUUUUAUUUAUUUAUUUGACAGAGAGACAGCAAGAGAGGGAACACAAGCAGGGGGAGUGGGAGAGGGAGAAGCAGGCUUCCUGCUGAGCAAGGAGCCGGGUCCGAGGCUCAAUUCCAGGACCCUGGGAUCAUGACCUGAGCCGAAGGCAGAAGCUUAAUGACAGAGCCACCCAGGCGUCCCAUCUAUUAUUAUUACUGAGUUGUGAGAAGAUUAAUUCAAGGGUCCCAUGCUCAGUCCCACAUGCUAUACUAUGAAUUUAGCAGUGUCCGUUAACUUUAAUAUUCCCUCACUGCUUGUUUUAACAACUAAUAAAAACAAAUGUUUUUUACUGUGUUUAAGAUUCUGCGAACGGUCUGUUGCUAAGACACAAUCAGAGAAGAAGGACAUCAGGUUAUACAAAUUACUGAGCCUAACAGAUACAGCCAUUAAAGGGUCAAAGUUGAAUGGAUAAAGAAGAUGUGGUCCAUACACACGAAGGAAUAUUACGCAGCCAUCAGAAAGGAUGAAUACCCAACUUUUGCAUCAACAUGGACGGGGCUGGAGGAGAUGAUGCUGAGUGAAACAAGUCAAGCAGAGAAAGUCAAUUAUUAGAUGGUUUCACUUAUUUGCAGGGACAUAAGGAAAAGCAUGGAGGACAUUAGGAGAAGGGAGGGGAAAAUGAAGGAGGGGAAUCAAAGAGAAAAACGAACCAUGAGACCCUGUGGACUCCAGGAAACAGACUGAGGGUUUUAGAGGGGAGAAAGGGUGGGGGGAUGGGUGAGCUUGGUGGUGGGUAUUAAGGAGGGCACGUAUUGCACGGAGCACUGGGUGUUAGGUAUAAACAAUGACUCAUGGAACACUGCAUUAAAAACUAAUGACAUGCUAUACGGUGACUAACAUAACACAAUAAAUAAAUAAAUAAAUAUACAGCGUCAAAGUCUCUGGUAUAUGAAUCUGCUUUCAAAAGAGACAAAGCCUUUUUUCUUUUCUUUUCUUUCUUUUUUUUAUGAGAGAAGAG
rnacentral:lncRNA from 1 species